AAUGAACGCUGGCGGCAUGCUUUACACAUGCAAGUCGAACGAAUAUAUUUAAAGCUUGCUUUAAAUAUAUUAGUGGCAAACGGGUGAGUAACAUGUGGGAAUCUACCUAUCAGUACGGAAUAACUCAUGGAAACAUAAGCUAAUACCGUAUAUUCUCUACGGAGGAAAGAUUUAUCGCUGAUAGAUGAGCCCGCACAAGAUUAGAUAGUUGGUGGGGUAAUGGCCUACCAAGUCGACGAUCUUUAGCUGGUCUGAGAGGACGAACAGCCACACUGGGACUGAGACACGGCCCAGACUCCUACGGGAGGCAGCAGUGGGGAAUAUUGGACAAUGGGCGAAAGCCUGAUCCAGCAAUGUCGCGUGAAUGAUGAAGGCCUUAGGGUUGUAAAAUUCUUUUAGUGGGGAAGAUAAUGACGUUACCCACAGAAAAAGCCCCGGCUAACUCCG
rnacentral:rRNA from 1 species